rnacentral:rRNA from 1 species
UACGAAGGGGGCUAGCGUUGCUCGGAUUGACUGGGCGUAAAGGGCGCGUAGGCGGUUCGUACAGUCAGACGUGAAAUUCCUGGGCUCAACCUGGGAACUGCGCUUGAUACGGCAGAGCUAGAGGAUGGAAGAGGCUCGCGGAAUUCCCAGUGUAGAGGUGAAAUUCGUAGAUAUUGGGAAGAACACCGGUGGUGAAGGCGGCGAGCUGGUCCAUUACUGACGCUGAGGCGCGACAGCGUGGGGAGCAAACAGG